UACGUAGGGACCAAGCGUUGUUCGGAUUUACUGGGCGUAAAGGGCGCGUAGGCGGCUUAACAAGUCACUUGUGAAAUCUCCGGGCUUAACUCGGAACGGCCAAGUGAAACUGUCAAGCUAGAGUGCAGAAGGGGCAAUCGGAAUUCUUGGUGUAGCGGUGAAAUGCGUAGAUAUCAAGAGGAACACCUGAGGUGAAGACGGGGUUGCUGGGCUGACACUGACGCUGAGGCGCGAAAGCCAGGGGAGCAAACGGG
rnacentral:rRNA from 1 species